GUUCCAUAACUCUUCAUGAUCCUCAGAUUGAAGAAGCAGAAGUUGUGCAUACCAUAGAUUCCACAAGAAGCAUGAGUAGUGAUACUAACUUCGUACCUGGUGAAGAGAACUACAAUGAAUUAGUGAUCUCUUCUCAGAAUUCAACAGUUUCAUCUCAAAACUCAAAUUCACCAGUUAGUCAAACGGUUGACAGAAAAGAUUCAUCCUCAGAGACCAACUCACGGGAAUUGGAUCCUACUGAUGCAGCCCAAAUCAACAGCUUUAAUGUAGUUAAUUCUUUUCUUGAGCUCCUACAUAUGGCUCAGUCUGGAUCAAGCAUGCCGCACGAAGUUCCCAAAUUUUUGCAUCAAAGUCCGAACGAGACUGCCAAAACAUCAACCCUGGGUAUCCCGACUCAAAAAGAAUCUGUUGAACCGAAGGAACUUGCAGACGAACCACUGAAACAGUUUGUUGGUAACGUAAUGCAGCAACCGGAACAAGUUGCAAACCGUUCAGAAGUGAUGUUUGAUAUUGUGGAAAGUAGCAGGGAGAAGGAAAAUGUUUCAGAGAAAACGACGGCUUCAAAUAUGAUUAACCAUCCCAAUUCGAGAGUUAAGGGUGUCAAAGACAUCGAUGCUGCUCGGAGAAAGGCGAAAAGUAGAAGGGUUGGCGAUGAAAUCAAAGAUGCUGACUGGGAGGCACUGAGAAGAAGUGCCAAACAAAGUGGGCAAAAAAAUAAGAGGGCAGAGAACGCAAAGGAUUCGGUGGAUUGGGAAGCUGUAAGAUGUGCAGGUGUGAAUGAGAUUGCUGAGACAAUAAAAGCACGUGGGAUGAACAACAUGCUUGCAGCACGCAUUAAGGUACGCAACAAAUUUAUACAGCCAAUUGGAUGAUAGUCUUAAUUCCUUGCAUGUACAUGAUCAUGUUUUUCAUUAACUGCAGGAGUUUCUUGAUAAAGUGCUAACCUAUCACGGAAGUGUUGAUCUGGAAUGGUUAAGAGAUGUUCCUCCCGAUAGAGCAAAGUACGUAUAUAUAGAAAGUUUAAAGCAUGUCACUUCAAUACAUGAACAUGUUCCUGCACCCUUAAAUUAUUCUGUUACCGCCCCUGUUUAUGUUUACGGGUUAGUUCGACAUUUCUAAAUAAAUCAAUCUAUUUGGACUGCUACAAAGGGUAUGCAAACCUCACUAAGUUCCUAUUGAAUACAUGUAAGAACUACUUUUAGAUAUGUAAGAAUUACUUUUUUGUAGAGAGUACCUGCUAAGCUUUAACGGGCUGGGGUUGAAAAGUGUGGAGUGCGUACGGCUUUUGACGCUUCAUCACCUUGCAUUUCCGGUAAGUUUCAAUAAAGUAAAAGUUUAAAACUAAUAAAGUUAUGUUAUUCAAAACAACCAUGAUUUCUGUACCAAAUAACAGGUUGAUACCAAUGUUGGACGCAUAGCUGUGCGACUUGGAUGGGUCCCACUGCAACCAUUACCUGAAUCGCUACAAUUGCAUCUACUAGAAAUGCAAGUACUAUUAGCAGCCGGAAUUUUUUGAGAAUGAGAACAAAUACAUGGUUGUGACUUACGAUGUUCUCACUGCAGGUACCCUAUACUGGACACAAUUCAAAAGUAUCUGUGGCCUCGAUUGUGCAAACUUGAUCAGAAAACAC
rnacentral:lncRNA from 1 species